rnacentral:rRNA from 1 species
UACGUAGGGUGCAAGCGUUGCCCGGAUUUAUUGGGCGUAAAGGGCGCGUAGGCGGCUCUGCACGUUCGUUGUGAAAUCGCCCGGCUCAACUGGGCGGGGUCAGCGGAUACGGCAGAGCUUGAGCAAGCUAGGGGGCAAUGGAAUUCCCGGUGUAGUGGUGGAAUGCGUAGAUAUCGGGAGGAACACCAGUGGCGAAGGCGGUUGCCUGGAGCUUUGCUGACGCUGAUGCGCGAAAGCGUGGGGAGCGAUCCGG